AGGGAGUUAGUCCAAAACAAGACCUCUGAUUUCGGCUCAGAAAACCGUGGAUAAACCCCACGAUUCCCUU
rnacentral:tRNA from 1 species